rnacentral:piRNA from 1 species
UGGCAAUAUAUUACCAUUAGAAAUGAGGG